rnacentral:rRNA from 1 species
UGGCGGCAGGCCUAACACAUGCAAGUCGAGCGGUAACAUUUCUAGCUUGCUAGAAGAUGACGAGCGGCGGACGGGUGAGUAAUGCUUGGGAACAUGCCUUUAGGUGGGGGACAACAGUUGGAAACGACUGCUAAUACCGCAUAAUGUCUACGGACCAAAGUGGGGGACCUUCGGGCCUCACGCCUAAAGAUUGGCCCAAGUGGGAUUAGCUAGUUGGUGAGGUAAUGGCUCACCAAGGCGACGAUCCCUAGCUGGUUUGAGAGGAUGAUCAGCCACACUGGGACUGAGACACGGCCCAGACUCCUACGGGAGGCAGCAGUGGGGAAUAUUGCACAAUGGGCGCAAGCCUGAUGCAGCCAUGCCGCGUGUGUGAAGAAGGCCUUCGGGUUGUAAAGCACUUUCAGUAAGGAGGAAAGGUUGGAUGUUAAUAGCAUUCAGCCUGUGACGUUACUACAGAAGAA